ACCUGGGUGGCUCAGUCGGUUGAGCAUCCGACUUUGGCUCAGGUCAUGAUCUCGCGCUUUGUGGGUUCGAGCCCCACGUCAGGCU
rfam:Felis catus isolate Cinnamon breed Abyssinian chromosome D1, whole genome shotgun sequence.